AGUAAUGUAUGGGGAUCUGCCUGAUGGCGGGGGGUAACUACUGGAAACGGUAGCUAAUACCGCAUAAUGUCUGCGGACCAAAGCGGGGGGACCUCCGGGGCCUCGCGCCAUCAGAUGAACCCAUAUGGGAUUAGCUUGUAGGUAAGGUAACGGCUUACCUAGGCGACGAUCCCUAGCUGGUCUGAGAGGAUGAUCAGCCACACUGGGACUGAGACACGGCCCAG
rnacentral:rRNA from 1 species